rnacentral:rRNA from 1 species
AGUGAACGCUGGCGGUAGGCCUAACACAUGCAAGUCGAACGGCAGCACAGGAGAGCUUGCUCUCUGGGUGGCGAGUGGCGGACGGGUGAGGAAUACAUCGGAAUCUACUCUGUCGUGGGGGAUAACGUAGGGAAACUUACGCUAAUACCGCAUACGACCUACGGGUGAAAGCAGGGGACCUUCGGGCCUUGCGCGAUUGAAUGAGGCGAAGUCGGAUUAGCCAGUUGGCGGGGUAAAGGUCCACCAAGGCGACGAUCCGUAGCUGGUCUGAGAGGAUGAUCAGCCACACUGGAACUGAGACACGGUCCAGACUCCUACGGGAGGCAGCAGUGGGGAAUAUUGGACAAUGGGCGCAAGCCUGAUCCAGCCAUACCGCGUGGGUGAAGAAGGCCUUCGGGUUGUAAAGCCCUUUUGUUGGGAAAGAAAUCCAGCUGGCUAAUACCCGGUUGGGAUGACGGUACCCAAAGAAUAAGCACCGGCUAACUUCGUGCCAGCCGCCGCCGUAA